CAAUAGCGUAUAUUAAAUUUGCUGCAGUUAAAACGCUCGUAGUUGAAUUUUAUAGGUCCGCCGCUCACUCGAAGUUCUUACUUGAGAUGCCGCGGCUUAUUUGUUCUGUGAUUAUCGAUUUUUUCGAAUUUUGCAGAUUUCACACUUUGAGGAAAAUAGAGCGAUCAAAGCACGUUUAAAGGCGUUGGAUAUUUCAGCAUGGGAUGUCAUGUAAGAUUCGUCUACUUUCGUCGGAUGGGAGGUAAGCGUUUAAUGCUCUACAGGAGAAGUUGGGGGCAUUUGUAUUGAACAGCUAGAGGUGAAAUUCUAAAAUUUGUUCAAGACUAUCUAAUGCGAAAGCACCUGCCAAAGAUCUUUNCAUUA
rnacentral:rRNA from 1 species